rnacentral:rRNA from 1 species
UACAGAGGUCUCUAGCGUUGUUCGGAUUCAUUGGGCGUAAAGGGUGCGUAGGUGGCGCCGUAAGCGGGGUGUGAAAUUUCGAGGCUUAACCUCGAAACUGCAUUCCAUACUGCGGUGCUUGAGGACUGGAGAGGAGACUGGAAUUUACGGUGUAGCAGUGAAAUGCGUAGAUAUCGGAAGGAAGACCAGUGGCGAAGGCGGGUCUCUGGACAGUUACUGACACUGAGACACGAAGGCCAGGGGAGCAAACGGG